GCCUUCGUAGUGUAAUGGCAGCACACUCGGCGCGUAUUCGAGAAAUCCGGGUUCGAGUCCCGGUGAGGGUA
rnacentral:tRNA from 1 species